rnacentral:lncRNA from 1 species
GAAGGGCCGCAGCCGGCGCUUCCGCCUCCCGGUCGCGGCCGGACAAAGCCCAGCUCCUUUCCCUGGGACCCGAGGGGCUGACCGGAUCGGGACGCGCGCCUUCCGCAGGGCCCGCCGUCGCCGCACACAGGUGGUUUUCCGUCCGGGAGGGGCGGCCUCUGCACUUUUAUAUAACAAUAGAACCGAGCGCGCCGGGGAUGCGCUCUUGUCGCCGUCGCGGCCCCCGCCGGCCACGCCUCCAUCCGGCUCCGGUGCCGCCUCCGUCCUGAGUUGCCUGCGGGUGGUGCCCAUGAGACUUCCCAACCCUAACUCUGGAACCAUGGGGUCCAGACAGGGACACCUCUGGCUCCUUUUCCGCUCCAGGUCUCUCACUAGGCGACGGUUCCGCGACGGCCUUACAAGCGAUCACGGGGUCGUCGCGUGUCCUGCCCCCCCCCCCCCAUCCCCCAGAGCAGCAAUGCUGCGGCCAAAGCGCAGCGCGCAAGCGCGUUUGGAGCUGCUAGCGUGCUCCUUGCGGGGCCCGGGGACCGCUGCAGCCUAGAAAGGAUAGGGGACCGGCCUCUGUCCACAACCGCCACUGUUUACGCUUGAGUUCCCGCAGGCUUGCAGGUCUCCGGGGUGCAGGAAACGUUGGUGAGGCCUGUCGUCCCAGGCACCUAACCUAGGCUGCCUUGCCAGACCGGUUCCUCUUAGAAACCAAACUCUGCUCUUGGCUCCAGAUCGUUAAAGGAGCUCGACUCCCCAGGCUCGAUGGGUGACCGGUGAUGGUGGUGGGGAGCAAGAUCUCCGGAACAAUGGCUCAGAAUGCCCCCACUUCACCGGAGCAGAAGAAAAGUGCAGGGAUAGCUGACAAGGUUUUGGGUGCUUACACCACCCGCCCCCCCCCCUCCGCUGCCGCCAAGAAAGUUGAGAAAGCCCGGGGUUGGGGCGCUUCUGGUUUUCUGGACAACCAAACGCUUGUUUGCUUAGUUGCUUUAAAAUGUUUCAACAAAACACUAGUUUGUUUCUAGAGAUGUUGGAUUAGCAUUUAACACUUCGUUGGGUCGCUAAAGCCCAGGCAGUCCACCAGUCCCAACACAGCCUCGCCUAAAAGGACAUUAGAACAAACAGAACUAGACUUUUAAAAGAGCCAAACAAAUGCCACACACGAUCUAAAGGAGGACCGGGUUGGGGGUGGGGGAGCAGGGGCGGCGCUAUGGCGGGCUUGGAUCUAGCGUUAAAGAGAAUUAAAAAGGGGGAAAACCCCUCAAGUUUUAUUAAGGCUAACUUAAGAUUGUAAGCGUCGCGAAUAAGGGCUUUUGUGCUUGCUAAUUGCACUACUGGUGCGCAAGAGUUAGACGCGAAGUGUGAACUCUAAACAGAAGGAAACACGAGA